AAAUUGAAGAGUUUGAUCAUGGCUCAGAUUGAACGCUGGCGGCAGGCCUAACACAAUGCAAGUCGGGCGGUAGCACAGAAGAGCUUGCUCUUUGGGUGACGAGCGGCGGACGGGUGAGUAAUGUCUGGGAAACUGCCUGAUGGAGGGGGAUAACUACUGGAAACGGUAGCUAAUACCGCAUAACCUCGCAAGAGCAAAGAGGGGGACCUUCGGGCCUCUCGCCAUCAGAUGUGCCCAGAUGGGAUUAGCUAGUAGGUGAGGUAAUGGCUCACCUAGGCGACGAUCCCUAGCUGGUCUGAGAGGAUGACCAGCCACACUGGAACUGAGACACGGUCCAGACUCCUACGGGAGGCAGCAGUGGGGAAUAUUGCACAAUGGGCGCAAGCCUGAUGCAGCCAUGCCGCGUGUGUGAAGAAGGCCUUCGGGUUGUAAAGCACUUUCAGCGGGGAGGAAGGCGGUAAGGUUAAUAACCUUAUCGAUUGACGUUACCCGCAGAAGAAGCACCGGCUAACUCCGUGCCAGCAGCCGCGGUAAUACGGAGGGUGCAAGCGUUAAUCGGAAUGACUGGGCGUAAAGCGCACGCAGGCGGUCUGUUAAGUUGGAUGUGAAAUCCCCGGGCUUAACCUGGGAACUGCAUUCAAAACUGACAGGCUAGAGUCUUGUAGAGGGGGGUAGAAUUCCAGGUGUAGCGGUGAAAUGCGUAGAGAUCUGGAGGAAUACCGGUGGCGAAGGCGGCCCCCUGGACAAAGACUGACGCUCAGGUGCGAAAGCGUGGGGAGCAAACAGGAUUAGAUACCCUGGUAGUCCACGCUGUAAACGAUGUCGAUUUGGAGGUUGUGCCCUUGAGGCGUGGCUUCCGGAGCUAACGCGUUAAAUCGACCGCCUGGGGAGUACGGCCGCAAGGUUAAAACUCAAAUGAAUUGACGGGGGCCCGCACAAGCGGUGGAGCAUGUGGUUUAAUUCGAUGCAACGCGAAGAACCUUACCUACUCUUGACAUCCAGAGAACUUAGCAGAGAUGCUUUGGUGCCUUCGGGAACUCUGAGACAGGUGCUGCAUGGCUGUCGUCAGCUCGUGUUGUGAAAUGUUGGGUUAAGUCCCGCAACGAGCGCAACCCUUAUCCUUUGUUGCCAGCGAUUCGGUCGGGAACUCAAAGGAGACUGCCGGUGAUAAACCGGAGGAAGGUGGGGAUGACGUCAAGUCAUCAUGGCCCUUACGAGUAGGGCUACACACGUGCUACAAUGGCGUAUACAAAGAGAAGCGACCUCGCGAGAGCAAGCGGACCUCAUAAAGUACGUCGUAGUCCGGAUUGGAGUCUGCAACUCGACUCCAUGAAGUCGGAAUCGCUAGUAAUCGUAGAUCAGAAUGCUACGGUGAAUACGUUCCCGGGCCUUGUACACACCGCCCGUCACACCAUGGGAGUGGGUUGCAAAAGAAGUAGGUAGCUUAACCUUCGGGAGGGCGCUUACCACUUUGUGAUUCAUGACUGGGGUGAAGUCGUAACAAGGUAACCGUAGGGGAACCUGCGGUUGGAUCACCUCCUUA
rnacentral:rRNA from 1 species